UCGAGAAUAUUCGACAAUGGGCGAAAGCCUGAUCGAGCGACGCCGCGUGCAGGAAGAAGGCCUUCGGGUCGUAAACUGCUUUUGCGUGGGACGAAUUUUGACGGUACCACGAGAAUAAGGGGUUGCUAACUCUGUGCCAGCAGCAGCGGUAAUACAGAGACCCCGAGCGUUAUCCGGAAUUACUGGGCGUAAAGCGUGAGCAGCCGGUUGUAUUAGUCUGGUGUCAAACCAUGGGGCCCAACUCCAUGCCUGCAUUGGAAACGGUACAACUCGAGUGGGUAAGAGGGAGGCGGAACGUAUGGUGUAGGGGUGAAAUCCACUGAUAUCAUACGGAACACCAAAAGCGAAGGCAGCCUCCUAGUGCUCUACUGACGGUCAAUCACUAAAGCGUGGGGAUCAAAAAGG
rnacentral:rRNA from 1 species